rnacentral:lncRNA from 13 species
GAGCAGACCUGAAUCUCUCUCGAGACCAUUCAAUGCAACUUUUAACAACUUUCACCAUCAGGAAAUUCUCCCCCUUAGCUAUCCUAAAUCCCUUAUACUGGGGAUUAAGCUCCUUUUCUUAUUCUUUCCUUAGUAGCCACUGCCAAGACUUAGCCUGCACUACCUAAGAACUCUUCUGAUACCUGAAGAUUGCAUGAAAUCCUGCCUGCCUGUCUUCCCUGAUGAAUAAUCCCAGCUUCUUUUUCUCCCAGGCCCUGCAGUCCAGCCCGUUACCUUCGAGGCUACCCUCAGAUUCCCUCUGAGUGUGAGUUUCCCUGGUGGGGAGCCUAGACCAAGCACAGGAGGCCGGUUUCUCAUCUGGGAACUGAACUGCUAUAAUCAAAUACAUAAAGAAAUUGAGCUGCCCCUGUCUGAAUUCAAUCUUCACCUUCUGAUGCUGAUGAAACAGGAUUCAAUGCAGGUGAGUGGGCUCAGAAGCUAUGAUGUUAAGGGAAGUUCUAUGGAAUAUGAGAAGAUCCUUUAUUCCAUUU